AGGAGCACAAGAAGUAUGUGAAGAUGCAAAGACACGUGUAGAGUACCUGUGGACCAGAGACCACCAGAGACUGUGCAAGAGGAAAAACUUCCCAAGAAGAAAAAGACUCAUUACGAAGAGGAGUCACAGUCUCAGAGACAGUCCCACCUUCCUCUGAACAGACAAGCAAAGGAUAUGCCAACAAAAGCCGAGGACACUGGGUGACUUUGAUUUCCCCAAUAUGCACUGCUGGAAUUACAUUUGGUUCAAGAAAACUGUUCUAUGCUAAGUCUAUUAUGCUAUUUUAUGCAGAAACUAAAGACAAAAGAAUGCAGUUGGUCUUUUUUUUUUUAAACACUCGCUUUAUCUUUUUAGUCGCGCAACUUAUCAGCCUUUCAGACUUUUCUAAUUGAAAUUACAAUUGUCCUUAAAGGGACAGUCUACACUAAAAUUGUUAUUGUUUAAAAAGAUAGAUAAUGCCUUUACUACCCAUUCCUCAGUUUUGCACAACCAAUAUUAUAUUGUGAUAUUAAUAUACUUUAUAACAUUUAAGUCUCUAAAUUUUUACCUGUUUCUAAGCCACUACAGACAGCCUCUUAUCACAUGUUUUUUUAUUUGCUUUUCACAACAGGGGACUGCUAGUUCAUGUGGGCCAUAUAGAUAACAUUGUGUUCACGCCAGAGGAGUUAUUUAAGAUUUAGCACAAGACACUACUAAAUGUAAGUCAAUAGAUAAUAAAUAAAAAGUCAUGUGAUCAGGGGGCUGUCAGAAGAUGCUUAGAUACAAGGUAAUCACAGAGGUAAAAAGUAUAUUAAUAUAACUGUGUUGGUUAUGCAAAAUUGGGGAAUGGGUGAU